UACGGAGGUGGCAAGCGUUGCUCGGAAUCACUGGGCGUAAAGGGCGCGUAGGCGGGGAGGUAAGUCGGGUGUGAAAUCCCUCGGCCCAACCGAGGAACUGCGCCCGAGACUGCUUCUCUUGAGUCCCGGAGAGGAAGAUGGAAUUCCCGGUGUAGCGGUGAAAUGUGUAGAGAUCGGGAGGAACACCAAUGGCGAAGGCAGCUCGCUGGGACGGUACUGACGCUGAGACGCGAAAGCGUGGGGAGCAAACAGG
rnacentral:rRNA from 1 species